CAAUGUCAUGUCAAUGUGACUGUCUUGGAUAGUGCUCAAGACACUUGCGGUUCGUUUCGCUUCGAGAAGGGUGAAGUACCGCAGAGAGGCCGAGCACCGUCGUGACCGCGGGAGAGGGGGCGGGGGUAGAGCCGCCCUCGGAGGCGGCGGGCGCCGGGCGGACCGCUCCCCGCAGCGGGAGCGCCGCCGGCGGCGGUGGCACCGGCGCCGGCGCCGGAGGGGCGGCCGCGAGCGCCGCGACCGGCUCGGCCGCUUGCGCGACAGCGACGGGUGGACCCGGCAGGUGCAGAGGUCGCAGCGGCUCACCCACUGCCGCUACCGCAACCAGACCCUAAUGCCCCUCGCGUGCCCCGACUUCCCGACCUUCCCGGAGAGUACCCCUUACCAAGGUGAAGAGCCACCUCGCUACACGCGCACGUGGACCGUAAAGAAGAUGUUAAGUCUCAGAGAGCUCUAUGAACACCGCUAAGUUCCACGAGAUUGCCACUAGCCAUUGUAUUGUUACACGUAUCGGCGCAUGGCGUAGAUGUUUCCCAGCGUUCUUUCGUGAUUGUCGCUGUCAGGUAUCGGAUACAUACGUGUGAGAAAGAGCUUGUAGACAGACAGCCCAGUUCCGAAGUCGAAGAAAAAGGAACAAUGAUUCUCCACCUUCGAAGAACUGACUGUUUGAAAAAGAAGACAUCUAAACUUAUGGCAAGAAUUAAACAUUAAGACGACGAGGACUAAGCUUUGGGGGCGUUUACUACCUACGUUUGUUCCAUCUGCUUCUUUCGAUGAGCCUCCGAGCGGUAUUUUUACUAAUGGCUGUCCGACUCUCUUUGAAUUAAAAGGUAGAAGAUAUUCUGAUAUUAUGUUUACGGUCAAGUUUUUGUUUAGGUGGGACUUUAAACACAUUCUUCUUUGAAUGGUUCAGGAACGUAAACUUACAGUACGUUCGCACGGUACAGACUAAGACUCGUGACUUACGAUGAUCAUCGUCUAAUAGUAAGUGGACGCGUAUGAAGUAGGUAACAAGUUCCCUAGUUUAGCAAAUCUACACUUUAAGGACGCUCGGUUUCUCCGGGAGUU
rnacentral:rRNA from 1 species